rnacentral:rRNA from 1 species
AGAGUUUGAUCCUGGCUCAGGAUGAACGCUGGCGGCGUGCCUAAUACAUGCAAGUCGAACGCUUCACUUCGGUGAAGAGUGGCGAACGGGUGAGUAAUACAUAAGUAACCUGGCAUCUACAGGGGGAUAACUGAUGGAAACGUCAGCUAAGACCGCAUAGGUGUAGAGAUCGCAUGAACUCUAUAUGAAAAGUGCUACGGGACUGGUAGAUGAUGGACUUAUGGCGCAUUAGCUUGUUGGUAGGGUAACGGCCUACCAAGGCGACGAUGCGUAGCCGACCUGAGAGGGUGACCGGCCACACUGGGACUGAGACACGGCCCAGACUCCUACGGGAGGCAGCAGUAGGGAAUUUUCGGCAAUGGGGGAAACCCUGACCGAGCAACGCCGCGUGAAGGAAGAAGUAAUUCGUUAUGUAAACUUCUGUCAUAGAGGAAGAACGGUGGAUAUAGGGAAUGAUAUCCAAGUGACGGUACUCUAUAAGAAAGCCACGGCUAACUACGUGCCAGCAGCCGCGGUAAUACGUAGGUGGCGAGCGUUAUCCGGAAUUAUUGGGCGUAAAGAGGGAGCAGGCGGCACUAAGGGUCUGUGGUGAAAGAUCGAAGCUUAACUUCGGUAAGCCAUGGAAACCGUAGAGCUAGAGUGUGUGAGAGGAUCGUGGAAUUCCAUGUGUAGCGGUGAAAUGCGUAGAUAUAUGGAGGAACACCAGUGGCGAAGGCGACGAUCUGGCGCAUAACUGACGCUCAGUCCCGAAAGCGUGGGGAGCAAAUAGGAUUAGAUACCCUAGUAGUCCACGCCGUAAACGAUGAGUACUAAGUGUUGGGGGUCAAACCUCAGUGCUGCAGUUAACGCAAUAAGUACUCCGCCUGAGUAGUACGUUCGCAAGAAUGAAACUCAAAGGAAUUGACGGGGGCCCGCACAAGCGGUGGAGCAUGUGGUUUAA